AAAAAAAAAAAAAAACUCAAAAAACACCGCUUUUGAUCAUUUUGAAACGUUGAAGCUAAGGCAUAAGGGUUUCAGAGAGCUAUUUCUAGAGCGAGAAAGAUUACAACUUGUGAAGGUUGAAGACGGGAGAUACAGACGGUUGGGUUGUUGAACCUACUGUUGCUGCUGUUGUUGUCUCUGGUGUGUACAGUAGAGAGCAUAUGCAAAGAGCUGGC
rnacentral:misc_RNA from 1 species